AGUGAACGCUGGCGGUAGGCCUAACACAUGCAAGUCGAACGGCAGCACAGUAAGAGCUUGCUCUUACGGGUGGCGAGUGGCGGACGGGUGAGGAAUACAUCGGAAUCUACUUUUUCGUGGGGGAUAACGUAGGGAAACUUACGCUAAUACCGCAUACGACCUACGGGUGAAAGCAGGGGAUCUUCGGACCUUGCGCGAUUGAAUGAGCCGAUGUCGGAUUAGCUAGUUGGCGGGGUAAAGGCCCACCAAGGCGACGAUCCGUAGCUGGUCUGAGAGGAUGAUCAGCCAAACUGGAACUGAGACACGGGCCAGACUCCUACGGGGGGCAGCAGUGGGGAAUAUUGGACAAUGGGCGCAAGCCUGAUCCAGCCAUACCGCGUGGGUGAAGAAGGCCUUCGGGUUGUAAAGCCCUUUUGUUGGGAAAGAAAAGCAGCAGGUUAAUACCCCGCUGUUCUGACGGUACCCAAAGAAUAAGCACCGGCUAACUUCGUG
rnacentral:rRNA from 1 species